rnacentral:ncRNA from 2 species
GGUCAUGAGUGUCAGCGACAGGCCCCGGCUCGCUGGCCGGCAACCCUCCACCGCGGUGGGGUGCCCCGGGUGAAGACCUGGCGUACGUCGACCGGCGUCCGCAAGCACGGCAC